rnacentral:rRNA from 1 species
AUAGACCAUCACGUCGAUAGGAGGUGUGUGGAAGGGCCGCAAUGCCCGAAGCUAAACCUUACUAAUCGCUCGAUCGGCUUGAUCUCUUCCG